UACGAGGGGGGCUAGCGUUGCUCGGAAUCACUGGGCGUAAAGCGCACGUAGGCGGCUUUUUAAGUCAGGGGUGAAAUCCUGGAGCUCAACUCCAGAACUGCCUUUGAUACUGAGAAGCUUGAGUCCGGGAGAGGUGAGUGGAACUGCGAGUGUAGAGGUGAAAUUCGUAGAUAUUCGCAAGAACACCAGUGGCGAAGGCGGCUCACUGGCCCGGUACUGACGCUGAGGCACGAAAGCGUGGGGAGCAAACAGG
rnacentral:rRNA from 1 species